rnacentral:lncRNA from 1 species
ACAGCCACAUGCAGGGACACAGGUAGAUGGAGAGAGGGGCAAGGGAACAGAGAGAGAGGGAAGGGCAGAGAGAGAGAGGACGGGACACAGAGGGUGAGAGGCAGCACACACACAGAGACAGACAUCCAUAGGAGGUACAGAAAGGGUGGAGAGUGGGAGAGGCUGAGAGAAAGAUGUGGGAGAUUGAGUGUGCUCUUGGCAAAGGUCUACAAUAAUUGGAGUGGGUUCAACGGUCAAGGCCAUGCUGUGGGGAAGAACAGGAACAGGGUCAAUUACAUCCUGCGGAUCCCUCAACACACCACCCCAUGGCAGCAAUUAGACACGAGGGAAACUGGAUUUAAUGUGAAUUUUGAAGGCAGCCAUGGGAAUGACAAGUAGAACACAUUGUCUUCAAUGUGGCCAGUGGCCCGCCAGGCAACCCAACCUGGCGCCUUCGUCUAUGAUGAAGGCUACAAAGCGUGAUUCCUUGGUCCCAGCCCCUGCUUGCCAGGUGGUCUCUCUGCGUGUCUCUGUCUUCAUGUGGUGCUUUCUUCUUCUUACAAGGACAUCAGCCAUGCUGGAUUAGUUCCCACUACUACUCUCUGGGACCCCCAAAUCAGCCAUUCUCCAUCAGGACCUGUGAAAAGAAGCCUCAAGCUCAAGUAAAGACCACCUCAAAGUCACAGCAACCUUUUUGAACCUAACUCUUCACCAUCUUGUCUAGUGGGCAGGGGAAUCAGUUGUCAGCAUUACAUACCUACCACAGCUGCAUACCAGAGUGAACCUAGGAAACGUUCCCACAGCGGCCAGAAUAUAAUGAUCCGAAGUAUCAAAUUCUACAUCUUUCCAAAAAAAAAAAAAAAAAAAAAAGGUCUGUGGUGCACGUGGGGGUAGACUUUGAGAGCUUUUCCAGCAGCAGAGGCGUUUCUGGAACAGCCCUUCUUUGAUCUGCCUCCCUAUCAAAGGCACCGUUCCUUUGAGGCGGGAGAAAAAACUGAUACCUGCAGGCCAGCCUGGGGGAGCCGCACCUGACUUC